GUAAUCGGUAACGGUUACCGGGCAAUGUAGUGUUUGGGAGAGCCCGUUUAACUUAAGUAAUAUUGACGAGUCCAAGUCCUUCUUGAAGGGGGCCACUCACCCAUAGAGGGUGCCAGGCCCGUGGUGACCGUUGAUUUAUUUUGGUGGGUUUCUCCUUAAGUCGGGUUGCUUGAGAGUGCAGCUCUAAGUGGGUGGUAAACUCCAUCUAAGGCUAAAUAUAACCACGAGACCGAUAGCGAACAAGUACCGUGAGGGAAAGUUGAAAAGAACUUAGAAGUGAGAGUUCAAGAGUACGUGAC
rnacentral:rRNA from 1 species